CAGGCGGAAGGUGGGAGAACACCUGGCAAAAGUAGUAAGAUCACCAGAGGAAUCUGAUGAGAUUUUCAAAAGUUUCCAUGACAGUGAGCAUGGGGGCCACUGUGGAAUGGAAAGACUGUCGAUGCCAUUGCCCUAAAAUACUACUGGCCUGGGAUGGAAGGGGACAUCCGAAAAUGGAUAUCGGAGUGUCCGAAAUGCCAGGCCAGACGGUGCACACUGAAAGUGAAGAAGGCCUACAUCCCAAUUGAGAGCCACUGGAACUGGUAGGCAUGGACCUGAUGGGGAAACUGGCCAAAACUGACCAGGGCCAUGAGUACAUUUGUGUAGUCGUAGACUACUUUACAAAAUGGACUGAGGCCUAUGCCUUAAAAACAAAAAGUGCCCCAGAAGUUGCAGCUUGCAUUCUGG